rnacentral:rRNA from 1 species
UACGUAGGUGGCAAGCGUUGUCCGGAUUUACUGGGCGUAAAGGGAGCGUAGGCGGAUACUUAAGUGGGAUGUGAAAUACCUGGGCUUAACUUGGGUGCUGCAUUCCAAACUGGGUGUCUAGAGUGUUGGAGAGGAAAGUGGAAUUCCUAGUGUAGCGGUGAAAUGCGUAGAGAUUAGGAAGAACACCAGUGGCGAAGGCGACUUUCUGGACAAUAACUGACGCUGAGGCUCGAAAGCGUGGGGAGCAAACAGGAUUAGAUACCCUGGUAGUCCACGCCGUAAACGAUGGGUAAUAGGUGUAGGAGGUAUCGAAUCCUCCUGUGCCGCCGUUAACACAAUAAGUACCCCGCCUGGGGAGUACGGUCGCAAGAUUAAA